GGAAACAGGAGCUAAUACCGGAUAAUAUUUUGAACCGCAUGGUUCAAAAGUGAAAGACGGUCUUGCUGUCACUUAUAGAUGGAUCAGCGCUGCAUUAGCUAGUUGGUAAGGUAACGGCUUACCAAGGCAACGAUGCAUAGCCGACCUGAGAGGGUGAUCGGCCACACUGGAACUGAGACACGGUCCAG
rnacentral:rRNA from 1 species